GCUCGUGUAGCUUACUCAAAGCAUAACACUGAAGAUGUUAAGACGGACCCUGAAAAGUCCCAGGAGCA
rnacentral:tRNA from 1 species